rnacentral:rRNA from 1 species
UACGUAGGGUGCAAGCGUUGUCCGGAAUUAUUGGGCGUAAAGAGCUCGUAGGCGGUUUGUUGCGUCGGCUGUGAAAUCCCGAGGCUCAACCUCGGGUCUGCAGUCGAUACGAGCAAACUAGAGUGUUGCAGGGGAGACUGGAAUUCCUGGUGCAGCGGUGAAAUGCGCAGAUAUCAGGAGGAACACCGGUGGCGAAGGCGGGUCUCUGGGCAACAACUGACGCUGAGGAGCGAAAGCGUGGGGAGCGAACAGG